GUAACAUGUUCAGCUGAUGUGUACUAAUAGGUCGAGGGCUUGUCCAA
rnacentral:rRNA from 1 species